rnacentral:rRNA from 1 species
GAACCGGGGCGAGCGUUGUUCGGAUUUACUGGGCGUAAAGGGCGCGCAGGCGGCGCAUUUUGUCAGGCGUGAAAGCCCCGGGCUUAACCUGGGAACUGCGUUUGAUACGGAUGGGCUAGAGUUCGGGAGAGGAGAGUGGAAUUCCCAGUGUAGAGGUGAAAUUCGUAGAUAUUGGGAAGAACACCGGUGGCGAAGGCGGCUCUCUGGACCGAGACUGACGCUGAGGCGCGAAAGCGUGGGGAGCAAACAGGAUUAGAUACCCUGGUAGUCCACGCUGUAAACGAUGUGUGCUAGACGUUGGGGAGCCUAGCUCUUCGGUGUCGCAGCUAACGCGGUAAGCACACCGCCUGGGGAGUACGGCCGCAAGGUUA